CUUAGUGGCGGACGGGUGAGUAACGCGUGGGCAACCUGCCCUAUACAGGGGGAUAACAACCAGAAAUGGUUGCUAAUACCGCAUAAGCGCACAGGACCGCAUGGUCCGGUGUGAAAAACUCCGGUGGUAUAGGAUGGACCCGCGUUGGAUUAGCCAGUUGGCAGGGUAACGGCCUACCAAAGCGACGAUCCAUAGCCGGCCUGAGAGGGUGAACGGCCACAUUGGGACUGAGACACGGCCCAG
rnacentral:rRNA from 1 species